rnacentral:misc_RNA from 1 species
ACUGUUGCCCAUAUCAUCUUCAGUAGGAAGUCCUACAGCCUUACCAUGUGCCCUGAGCAACCUCCAAUGCUCAGGAGCUCCCUUCUUAAGGGAAUCCAUGGUGGGAGUUUCGGCAACAUGGAUACAAUUGUAACGAUCUGGGUUAGCUUCACCCCACCCAUCCAAAACAAUAAGACCCACAAUCUUAUCCUUAGGAAGCUUAGGAUGAUCCGGCAAUUUCCAUGAGAAUCCAGAACUCCCCAUCGAUCUUCUUUGCUUAAAUUUCCUGAAGCAGCAGCGUAUCAAUCAAAAGGGAGAGGUAAAAGGCAGGACCCG